CCUACGGGAGGCAGCAGUGGGGAAUUUUGGACAAUGGGCGCAAGCCUGAUCCAGCAAUGCCGCGUGCAGGAUGAAGGCCUUCGGGUUGUAAACUGCUUUUGUACGGAACGAAACGGCUCUUUCUAAUAAAGAGAGCUAAUGACGGUACCGUAAGAAUAAGCACCGGCUAACUACGUGCCAGCAGCCGCGGUAAUACGUAGGGUGCGAGCGUUAAUCGGAAUUACUGGGCGUAAAGCGUGCGCAGGCGGUUAUAUAAGACAGAUGUGAAAUCCCCGGGCUCAACCUGGGACCUGCAUUUGUGACUGUAUAGCUAGAGUACGGUAGAGGGGGAUGGAAUUCCGCGUGUAGCAGUGAAAUGCGUAGAUAUGCGGAGGAACACCGAUGGCGAAGGCAAUCCCCUGGACCUGUACUGACGCUCAUGCACGAAAGCGUGGGGAGCAAACAGGAUUAGAUACCCUGGUAGUCCACGCCCUAAACGAUGUCAACUGGUUGUUGGGUCUUCACUGACUCAGUAACGAAGCUAACGCGUGAAGUUGACCGCCUGGGGGAGGUACGGCCGCGAGUAGUAACGACGAAAGAAGUAGACGGCGUGAGACGUGACCGACGGACGACGACGAGGGAGGAGG
rnacentral:rRNA from 1 species